rnacentral:rRNA from 1 species
CUACGGGCCGCAGCAGUGAGGAAUAUUGCGCAAUGGAGGAAACUCUGAUGCAGCAACGCCGCGUGGAGGAUGACGCAUUUCGGUGUGUAAACUCCUUUUAUAUGUCAAGAAAAUGACGGUAGCAUAUGAAUAAGCACCGGCUAACUCCGUGCCAGCAGCCGCGGUAAUACGGAGGGUGCAAGCGUUACUCGGAAUCACUGGGCGUAAAGGACGCGUAGGCGGGAUAUCAAGUCAGGUGUGAAAUCCUACAGCUUAACUGUAGAACUGCACUUGAAACUGGUAACCUAGAGUAUGGGAGGGGGAGAUGGAAUUAGUGGUGUAGGGGUAAAAUCCGUAGAUAUCACUAGGAAUACCUAAAGCGAAGGCGAUCUCCUGGAACAUAACUGACGCUAAGGUGCGAAAGCGUGGGGAGCAAACAGGAUUAGAUACCCUAGUAGUC